AUGGCCUCAGCCGGAGGAGCAGUACCGUUUUGGAGAGCAGCAGGGAUGACAUACAUAACAUACUCCAACAUAUGCGCCAAUCUUGUCAGAAAUUGCCUCAAGGAACCUCACAAAACCGAAGCUAUCUCUCGCGAAAAGGUUCAUUUCUCUCUUUCCAAAUGGAUCGACGGAAAGCCUGAAAAACCUACUCUUCGUUCAGACACCCCAGAUCACUGA